UGAGGAAUAUUGCGCAAUGGGGGAAACCCUGACGCAGCGACGCCGCGUGGAGGACGAAGGCCUUCGGGUCGUAAACUCCUGUCAAAGGGGACGAAUGUUGCGGGGAUGAAUAAGCCUCGUGAUUGACGGUACCUUUGGAGGAAGCCCCGGCUAACUCCGUGCCAGCAGCCGCGGUAAUACGGAGGGGGCAAGCGUUGUUCGGAAUUAUUGGGCGUAAAGGGCGCGCAGGCGGCCUAGUAAGUCGGACGUGAAAUCCCUCGGCUCAACCGAGGAACUGCGUCCGAUACUGCUGGGCUUGAGUCCCGGAGAGGGUAGCGGAAUUCCCAGUGUAGCGGUGAAAUGCGUAGAUAUUGGGAGGAACACCAGUGGCGAAGGCGGCUACCUGGACGGGUACUGACGCUGAGGCGCGAAAGCGUGGGGAGCAAACAGGAUUAGAUACCCCUGUAGUCC
rnacentral:rRNA from 1 species